AUAAGGAGCUCAUUCACCUUCUGAGUUUUGUAGUGCUAACAUCUAAAAUUGAACGAAAUUCGUUGUGCUUCAAAAUUUGAAAUGUAAAAAUGGACAUCGAUUUGCAAUCAGUUGCGGGCCCUUUGAUCAGAUUUGGUUAUACAAAAGUGUCGGUAGAAGGAGAAGUACCAGAGUUGAAAGUUUUGGACAUGUAGUUUGUUUUUUCUUUUUGUUGUUUUAUUUGGUUACCAAGAACACGUGAUAAAACACGUAAACACAAACACGAAAGACACAGUCAAAGAGAUUUUUUGCUGGCCUUGCAAGUUUUAACGUUGCUGGAAACAAUUUAUUGAAAAUGCAAAUGGGAUUUACUUUUAACAACGCCAAGUUGGCCCAUUGCAAGAUGGGCCUUAUUGGCAUUGGCCUCAAAUGGCAUAUGCAAGAAGAUUGCCCCCAUAAAUAAUAAUGGCAACAUUGAUUGGAUGUGGAGCAAGGUCCGAGGAAGACGGGUUCCUUGUGUUUGCUCCGCUAGUUAACAUACAAAUUUGAAAUCAAACAAAAGCCGAAAGAAGACAACACACACGCAAUAUGAAACCCAGUUGGAGCUUAGCCUCAAAUUGCUCUUCUGCAUGAUUCUUUAUAUAUUUAAUGUUGAUUCAGAUUAGAGGCCAGGAGGCUGCCGAUAUAUAUACAUUCAUAUACAUAUAUAUACAUUUAAUAAUUUUUUAUACAACGCUGACCCAAAAGUAGUGGAUUAACUUUCAAAUGUCGUUUCAUACACAAGAAACUGAAGCAUGGUCCGAGCCUCAACUUGUGUGUGCUUCGUUUCCAAUUAGAAUGCAAAAAACACACAGGAUUUUAAACAAAUGCUUAAAUCGAAUUGUUGCGAUAGAUGAUAUUCCGAUCAAUAUAUACAUAUAUACAAUUCCAAUUGACAAAGCAGGGGAGCAAGGUCCGAGGAGAAGAUCCCUUGUGUUUGCUCUCGGUUAUAUAUAUAUAUAUACAUAUAUAUAUAUAACCGUUACAGAUAUUAUAUAUAUAUAUAACACAUCACGUUGUUCUUCAUUGGUUACAACAAUAGCAACAGACUCUCUGCAACUUGUACAUAAAUAAAUAAUCGAACGAGAGAACGAUAACAAACAGCAACAAUUGUAUAAAGAACUAGGAAGCCAGGAAAUACACACAAUACACGCACAACACACAACACUCCACACACACACACACACACACAUUAGAAACAACCCCAACCCCACCCACCCCUCCCCCCAAAGAAUCACAAGAUCAGUCCCCUACCCCCCUUUAAAAAUCGAACGCGAUGGGAAUACUUGUUGAUAUUGGGAACAAUGGACACGAGAUUCUCUAUUUUCAGAAUUUUUAUAUAAAAUUUUAUAUAAUAUAUCGUUAGUUGGGGGCAGAGAUGUCUCUGCAACUGAUGCGCACAGUUGGCGCCUAUUAUAAAUAUUUAUAAUAAUUUUUCACUUGACGUCGUCGCAGCAACUGCAGCACAAAGCUCUACUCAGGCCUGUAGAUUCGACUGCCACCAGUAGUUCGUCUUCCAGCGCCAAAUUUAUAUAUUUGCUAUAAAUAUUUAAAAUAAAUGAAAAAAACCACAUGAGCUUA